UCUUCCUGCGAGCAGCAGCUGCCCUCUGAGGCCGUUUAUUUUCUUUGCGUUCUUCAUCCAAAAUGGUAGAGAUGUCUUUCCCACGGUGACCUGUGAUGGUGGAAAUAUCUUUUCCUCGGCCAACUCCUGAGAGGAAGAGAAAAAUCUGGCUCCUUUAAAGAGAAACAUAUACAUAUGUUGACAGAGAAACAGUCCUUGGAAUUAACAGCUUUAAUAUUCUACCUAAGGAGCACACAUGAAGAUUUGUGUACAAGUUUAUAGCAACGUGCUUCUCCUCAGCACCCACUACACAGGAAUGGUGGAAUCAUCUUGCCGAGGUUAAGUCUAAAGGAUGGCCAUUCGAUCAAAGAUCUACUUGGGACAAGAAUGGCUUCACAAUUCCCUCCAGUGCUGACCGGCCACCUCUUCCUUUUUGCCUCAUUUCUAAACUGCAACUACACUUUGAAAAUUUGGUCACGUUCUCCUAGGACUGCACUGCAUCACACUGCUGAAGGCUGUUCACAUUUUCUACCAAGUCCACCAGCAACCUCUGCUGACAACCAAGAGGGAUAAAGUGAGCAAGAAGUACAUUUCUUUAAUCUCACCCUGGGACAGAGCAUGGUCACCACAUCUGAGAGGAGGAGAGCGUAAGAGGGAAGGUUCCGAAGGAAGGAUGCGCUACCUCGUAAGGUACACAAAAGCGCAGCAGCAUUGGCAGGCAUGCAAGGGCUGGGAGAGAUGGCUCAGUCGGCAAAGUCCUCAAGCAUGAGGUCUUGAGUUCCAUCUCCAGCAGCCGUGGGGAACCUGUCACAUCUGCCGUUAGCCCAGAGCUGGAGAGCCAGACACGAGAGAGUCACUGGUGCCUGCUGGUCAGCCAUUCCAGCUGAAUCGGAGGGCUCCGGGUUCAAUGAAAAAAUUAAGUUUAAAAAUUAAGUGGAGAAACAACGCUGACCUCUGGACAGAUGGACGGACACACACACACACACACACACACACACACACACACACACACGCACACGCACACGCACACGCACACGCACGCACAGUCUCAGCUAGAAUACUGAGUUAGCCAAUAACAGACUAUGUAACCUAAGGAAAGCUACUUACAACAGUCUUUGUCUUAUUUCUCUGAUCUAGAAAAAUGAAGUAAUUAUACCUAGUAGGCCCCCCUUAUCUAUGGUUUUACUUUCUAUGGCUUCAGUUACCCAUUCAAGUACAAUCCUAAAGGAGAAAAGGAGGUACAGAGGAGUGGGGUGAGCAAGUGACGGACUAUAUUCAUAUAACUUACUACAGCAUACUGGCCAAGGGCUCUA